AAAAAAACCAAAUCUCUCAACUUUUACUUACAGCUCUCUUCCGCAAGGAUCAAGAGGUAAAAAUUAUAAACUCAAAGUAAAAAAAUCUUUAUAGUUCCUAUACUAUACAAGAAUUUCACUCCCCAAAAGUAGAAACAACUUGUUUCACUGUAUCAUAGCUUGAGCAAAGCAAUUUCCUAUAGCCUUGCUGAUAUUUAACUUUUUUAAAAGAUCAUUUUAUCUUUUGUAGCAUGUUUAAUCUGUUCACAUUUACUAGAAAGUUACCAAUAAAUUCAAGGUCAUAAAAAACUGAUAGUGAUACAAAAUAUUUUUUUCAUAAAAAUGUGAUCUGUUUCUGGCAGAAUGCCAGGGAUUAUUGCCCUAUGGAUAAUGAAUGGUUUUGCAUCUAUUAAGCAAAUUCUCUUCAACAUUCCUGAUGACUUACAUAUUUAACUAUUCUUUUGGAUGCUCUGAUAAGCCAAUUGCAGCAUCUUAUUUCCUUGUUAAUUAAUGAAUUAAGUAAAAAAUAUUUGACAUAUUUCAUUUUUUAGAGUCGUUUUACAUUCAAAAAUAUCCUUUAACAUUGGUUUCCCUUGCUCAUUCGAUUAAAGACGGAACUGAAUUAUUAUUCUUUCCUUAGAGGGGGUAGAGGAAGGGCUAAGGAGGAGGUGGGGAAGACUGAUUUGUGUGUGUGUGUGUGUGUGUGUGUGUGUAUGGUACUGGGGAUUGAACCUAGGGGUGCUUUACUUCUGAGUGACAUCCCCAGACUUUUAUUUUUUAUUUUGAGACAGGGCUGCACUAAUUGACUGAGGGUCUCCCUAAGUUGCUGAGACUCAAACUUAUGAUCCUCCUGCUUCAGCCUCCCGAGUCACUGGAAUAACAGGUAUGCACCAUCACACCAGGUUGGGAACAUUCUGAUUUUUCCAGAUAAAGCCAGCAUCAGGGCAGUGUGAGAAGUGCUUCACCAAGUGCUGUGGAAGCACCAUGCAGGGAGGGGAAGGCCGACAGGCUGCAGGCUGGGGGAGCCUUCUAGACCAAGCCAAGUGCAAAGGGAAAGAGGGCAUCAGGCAAGUGGAGAGUACAGAGUAGAGACAGUAACAGGGAAAAUACUGUUCACAAGGGCUUGGGAAGUGUUGGUGGCUGUGCUGUGCACCUCAUCCUCAUUCAUAUGUUAAAGUCCCAGCCUCCAGUACCUCAUAAUAUGACUGGGGAGAUUAGAUCUUUAAAGGUGUGAUUUAGUUAUGUUGAGGUCCUUAGGGUAGACCCUCGUAUUAGUCAGCUUCCCAUCACUGUGACAAUGUACCUGAGAAAAACAACUUGAAGAAAGGUUUAUUUUGGUUCAUGUUUUCAGAGGUUUCAGUCCAUGGUCACUUGACCCCAUCAUUAGAAUCCAAUGGUGCAACAGAAUAUCAUGGUGUGAAUACAUGGCAGAGAAGAGCUGCUCAUCUCAUGGGAACUAGGAAGGAGAGAGAGGGCUGUGGUCACAGAAUACUCAUCAGGAGAACACUCGUGUGACUGAUUUCCUCCAACUAGGCCCCACCUGCUAAAAUUUCUACUGCCUCCCAACAGUGCCACAAGUUGGGGACCAAGCCCUCACCACAUGAGACUUUGGGGGAUAUUCCAGAUAUGGACCAUAAAGUGGAUGGUGUCCUGAUAAGAAAAGGGAAUACAGACACACAAAGAGGGAAGGUCCUGUGAUGAUAGGGAGAAUACCAUCAUCGAUAGGCCAAGAAGAGAGGCCUUAGAAGAAACCAAGCCUGCUGACACCUUGAUCUUGGACAUCCAGCCUCCAGAACUGUAGGAAAAUAGAUGUCUGUUGUUUAAAUCACCUUGCAAACUAAUAUGGGGAGAAAAAGCUUGAGACUUUUGGGAAACCAAAAGUAGUAUUGAGAAUCCUGUUAUGUGGUGCCAAUCUUAAUUCUAUCCAAAAUUCUAG
rnacentral:lncRNA from 1 species